GAGACACCCUUCUGGGGCAGGACUUGCUUCAGUGGGGCUUUGGUGCUCACUGAGUCUGCCCCCUGAAUGUGUCUCU
rnacentral:pre_miRNA from 1 species